CAUGAUUUUAUUUGAUUUUAUUUUUAGAUGGAAUCUCAUUCUGUUGCCCAGGCUGGAGUGCAGUGGCACAAUCUCGGCUCACU
rnacentral:snoRNA from 1 species